ACCUGCUAAAUAGUCCAAUUGACUUUGGUCGGUUGUUGGCUUCUUAGAGGGACUUUUGGCUCAAGCCAAUGGAAGUACGAGGCAAUAACAGGUCUGUGAUGCCCUUAGAUGUUCUGGGCCGCACGCGCGCUACACUGACAGAGCCAGCGAGUACAUCACCUUAACCGAAAGGU
rnacentral:rRNA from 1 species